GAACGCUAGCGACAGGCUUAACACAUGCAAGUCGAGGGGCAGCACGGGAGUAGCAAUACAACGUGGUGGCGACCGGCGCACGGGUGAGUAACGCGUAUGCAACCUACCUAUCAGAGGGAAUAACCCGGCGAAAGUCGGACUAAUACCGCAUAAAACAGGGGCACCGCAUGGUGAUAUUUGUUAAAGAAAUUCGCUGAUAGAUGAGCAUGCGUCCCAUUAGUUAGUUGGUAAGGUAACGGCUUACCAAGACAAUGAUGGGUAGGGGUCCUGAGAGGGAGAUCCCCCACACUGGUACUGAGACACGGACCAGACUCCUACGGGAGGCAGCAGUGAGGAAUAUUGGUCAAUGGGCGCAAGCCUGAACCAGCCAUGCCGCGUGCAGGAAGAAGCAUCUAUGGUGUGUAAACUGCUUUUAUACAGGAAGAAACAACUCUACGUGUAGAGUCUUGACGGUACUGUAAGAAUAAGGACCGGCUAACUCCGUG
rnacentral:rRNA from 1 species